UACGGAGGGUGCAAGCGUUAAUCGGAAUUACUGGGCGUAAAGCGUGCGCAGGCGGUUUGUUAAGUCUGCUGUGAAAUCCCCGAGCUCAACUUGGGAAUUGCAGUGGAUACUGGCAGGCUGGAGUAUGGUAGAGGAAGGUGGAAUUCCCGGUGUAGCAGUGAAAUGCGUAGAGAUCGGGAGGAACACCAGUGGCGAAGGCGGCCGGCUGGGGGUGACCUGACGCUGAGGCGCGAAAGCGUGGGGAGCGAACCGG
rnacentral:rRNA from 1 species